AUCWWCAGUAAGCGGAGGAAAAGAAACUAACCAGGAUUCUCCUAGUAACGGCGAGUGAACGGAGAUUAGCCCAUCACCGAAGCCUGCGUGUGUUUGCAUGCUAGGCAAUGUGGUGUUUAAGCUUGUACCUGGGAUCGUGUGCCUACCCGAAGUCUAAAUCCGAUUGUGGCUUUGGAUUCAUUCCAUAGCGGGUGAAAGUCCCGUGCGGGUAGGACUAUUGUAAUCUACACGAUCCUCAGAUGUGCAUGCUUUCGAGUCGGAUUGCUUGAGAAUGCAGUCCAAAGUGGGUGGUAAACUCCAUCCAAGGCUAAAUACUGGCACGAGUCCGAUAGUAGACAAGUACCGUGAGGGAAAGUUGAAAAGUACUCUGAAGAGAGAGUAAAUAGUACGUGAAGCCGAUUGCAGGGAAGCUGGUGGAGUCAAGCUUCGUGCUUGAGGGAUUGAUGCUGAGAGCAGGUGUGUCAUUUGUAUGCGAGUUUGGUCAACUUGGAAUAAGUUGGGCGUGUUCUGAAUGCGCUUCAAGUCAUUCUGGGUAGACUGUUUGUGGCCAUGCUCGCUUUACUACUCUCAGUAUUGUAUUCCUCGCUGCACAGGCCACAGUCGAUACGUGCAUGCGGUAUGAAGGUCUAACUGUGCUUCGGCGGGUGCAAGCUCUCCGUGUGCAGGAUGGCAGGUGCUGUCUUCAGGCCUCGUGUCUGUUGGUAGUUGUUGUGGUUUCGACCGGCUGGUCUUCAUACUGUAUUGUGCAUAUUGCCUAUGAAUGGCGCUGCUUCUUCGGAAGUAGUGCUGUGAAGAACUGUGGCUCUGACGWAGUCCC
rnacentral:rRNA from 1 species